CUCCCGCGCGGGAGGCUGGGCCCUGACGCUCCUCAGGCCUCGCCCAGAUGAUGAAAGCCCUAUUGCGUUUGCUCAGAGCUGCUACUUGUCAUCUACUCGACCAAGCGUGGAUCACAGAAGAGGAGGAUGGUGUUUGGGGUUGAUACAAUAAAGUGUUUUUUUUUCCAAUA